rnacentral:lncRNA from 1 species
UGCACCAUCACCAACAGAAAUACCAGUGUUUUUGUACUAAAGAAAAUGGAAUAUAUGAAUCUUGAAAGUUCCUACUGCAAUUAAUAUGAAAAUAUUUCAGAGAGAGUAGGCCAUUUUUGAGAGAGGUUUAAAAUCUUUAUUGCGGACAUAUUCCUUAAAGGCAUUUUGAAUACUCCUAUCACACCUGAAAAAGAAUAAAAAAUGAGAACAGAUGGUGCCUGUGAGGAAGCUGACUCAACCAAAGUGGAGGAUGUUGUGCUGGACAGCUGCCCUGUUGUCUCAAAGCCAUUCCUGGCCUUCUGUGGUUUCAGGUGACGGCCAGCUCUAGACAACACUCAGAAUACAAGUUUAGAAAUGGGUGCACCUAAUAUUAUAGGUGGGAAGGAAGAGAGAUAAUGGUAUCAGUAGCGGUGCUGGGG